rnacentral:rRNA from 1 species
ACUUUAUACCGUGAAACUGCGAAUGGCUCAUUAAAUCAGUUAUCGUUUAUUUGAUAGUACCUUUACCUGGAUAACCGUGGUAAUUCUAGAGCUAAUACAUGCUAAAAACCCCGACUUCGGAAGGGGUGUAUUUAUUAGAUAAAAAACCAAUGCCCUUCGGGGCUCCUUGGUGAUUCAUAAUAACUUAACGAAUCGCAUGGCCUUGCGCCGGCGAUGGUUCAUUCAAAUUUCUGCCCUAUCAACUUUCGAUUGUAAGAUAGAGGCUUACAAUGGUCUUAACGGGUAACGGGGAAUUAGGGUUCUAUUCCGGAGAGGGAGCCUGAGAAACGGCUACCACAUCCAAGGAAGGCAGCAGGCGCGCAAAUUACCCAAUCCCGACACGGGGAGGUAGUGACAAUAAAUACUGAUACGGGGCUCUUUCGGGUCUCGUAAUUGGAAUGAGUACAAUUUAAAUCCCUUAACGAGGAACAAUUGGAGGGCAAGUCUGGUGCCAGCAGCCGCGGUAAUUCCAGCUCCAAUAGCGUAUAUUAAAGUUGUUGCCGUUAAAAAGCUCGUAGUUGAACCUUGGACCUGGCUGAUCUGUCCUCCUAACCGAGCGCACGGAUUCGGUCGGGUCUUUCCUUCUGGGGAACCCCAUGCCCUUCACUGGGUGUGGUGGGGAACCAGGACUUUUACCUUGAAAAAAUUAGAGUGUUCAAAGCAGGCAUUUGCUCGAAUACAUUAGCAUGGAAUAAUAGAAUAGGACAUCGGUUCUAUUUUGUUGGUUUCUAGGACCGCUGUAAUGAUUAAUAGGGAUAGUCGGGGGCGUCAGUAUUCAAUUGUCAGAGGUGAAAUUCUUGGAUUUAUUGAAGACUAACUACUGCGAAAGCAUUCGCCAAGGAUGUUUUCAUUAAUCAGUGAACGAAAGUUAGGGGAUCGAAGACGAUCAGAUACCGUCGUAGUCUUAACCAUAAACUAUGCCGACUAGGGAUCGGACGGUGGUUUUUUUAUGCCCCGUUCGGCACCUUACGAGAAAUCAAAGUGU